rnacentral:rRNA from 1 species
AUAAUACUCCAUAGAUUAAGACACUGGAAUGUUCUUUAGUCGAAAGUUCUGGCGCCUUAGGAUGGAUCUGCGGUCGAUUAGGUUGUUGUUGGGGUAACGGCCCAACAAGCCUGUAAUCGAUACGGGUUGUGGGAGCAAGAGCCCGGAGAUGGAAUCUGAGACACGAUUCCAGGCCCUACGGGGCGCAGCAGGCGCGAAAACUUUACAAUGCAGGAAACUGUGAUAAGGGAACUCCGAGUGCCCGUAUACGCGGGCUGUCCAGGUGUUUAAAAAUCAUCUGAAGAAAGGGCCGGGCAAGACCGGUGCCAGCCGCCGCGGUAAUACCGGCGGCUCGAGUGGUGGCCACUAUUAUUGGGCUUAAAGCGUCCGUAGCUGGACCGAUAAGUCUCUUGGGAAAUCCGCCGGCUCAACCGGCGGGCGUCUAAGGGAUACUGUUAGUCUAGGGACCGGGAGAGGUGAGAGGUACUCCGGGGGUAGGAGUGAAAUCCUGUAAUCCCCGGGGGACCACCGAUGGCGAAGGCAUCUCACCAGAACGGCUCCGACAGUGAGGGACGAAAGCUGGGGGAGCGAACCGGAUUAGAUACCCGGGUAGUCCCAGCCGUAAACUAUGCGCGUUAGGUGU